UGGAACAGUGUUGCGGGAUCCAUGUAAAGUUGUCUCCCCUUACCCACACAUAUUUGAUCCAAAUGUUAGCAAGAAUGGAUUUUUAUCGUCAACCAAGCGAGCUGAUUUUCAAGGAGUUGAGAGUGUGCCUGUUAUGACCAGUUUACAGUCUACUUCAGACACAGUAGAGCUGCUUCAGACUCUCCACACAGAGGCUUCCAAACUGAACAUACAUAAACACCACCGUUACUUAGCCGCUGGUAUAGAGGAGGACGACUACGUCGAGAUACUCGCAAACUUUGAGACACUGCAACACUGCUACGAGGAACCAGGUGACAUGGGUUGAUGGAGAUGACCACCCAAGUGGAAAAGAAAUCCAAGAAUGUGUCCAUCCCCUGAUAGAAAAUCUUCGAUGUCAAAACAAUUGUUCAUUCUCCACAUACAUUUUGUAUUUUGAUAAAGAGAUUGAUCGACAAUUGUGGAAGAAACAAACUCUGUUGUAACAGGAAUAUGUGCUGACCCUGGUAUGUACAAGCAAUAGGUGGAAUCUCUGAAUAGAAUACAUGUAGUCAUAUUUUCACCUUUUAUUCAAGUCCGAUCGGGUACAGGCAGAAGGGUGAUCUUAAGGCUGUAUAUCCAAAUAGGCUACAGACGUACAGUUUAAUCUAUUAUCCGCUUUUAAUGCUGUGAUAUUUUCUGUGAUAAUAGCAGGAAUCACUUCACUGUAUAGAGAAUUAAUGACUUGCAUUAAAAAAUGCAGAAUAUUUGCUAAAUAUUGUUGAAUUAUGUUGCAUGACAGGAGUCUACCGAAAGCUAAAAAGCCAGUCAGAAUAGUUUAUGGUAAGGUUUGACAGAUCUUUGUACAAGCUUUAGUCUAUAUAAUUAGCUGUGUCAGGCAAAUUCUGUCAGAUCUUAGUAUGAACAAAAGUCAUUAGUUCUAAACACUCCACGUUUAAGCUGAAGUCUAUUACAACCACAAGUCUGGUUUGGCCAAAAUACCAACCAAAUCUAUAUUAAUUAUACCAACUUGUUACAGAAGUUCAACACAUUUUAAAUUCAUUCAAAGACUUGUCAGACAAUUUUCUCUCUUCCUUAAUAUCCUUUUGUUGGAUUCGUUUUAAGGUGUUUGAAGACUAGUCAGACCAUUUUCUCUCUUCCUGAAUCGAAAAGUACAUUUAUUUAAUCAUUAUCAUGUGUUUGCAUAAGCAACAUGUUAAGAUUUCAUGAACAUGUAGUCUUACAUGUGGAUGUCUGUGAUCAACAGAAAGCAAGAUAUGAGCAUGUUUCUUAAGUAGUUUAAUGUAACAAUUAAUGAACGAAUAAAAAAUAUGAAAAUA